rnacentral:rRNA from 2 species
UAUUUCGAAGGACGUAUAAUACCGCAUACGUCCUACGGGAGAAAGUGGGGGAUCUUCGGACCUCACGCUAUCAGAUGAGCCUAGGUCGGAUUAGCUAGUUGGUGAGGUAAAGGCUCACCAAGGCGACGAUCCGUAACUGGUCUGAGAGGAUGAUCAGUCACACUGGAACUGAGACACGGUCCAGACUCCUACGGGAGGCAGCAGUGGGGAAUAUUGGACAAUGGGCGAAAGCCUGAUCCAGCCAUGCCGCGUGUGUGAAGAAGGUCUUCGGAUUGUAAAGCACUUUAAGUUGGGAGGAAGGGCAGUAAGUUAAUACCUUGCUGUUUUGACGUUACCAACAGAAUAAGCACCGGCUAACUUCGUGCCAGCAGCCGCGGUAAUACGAAGGGUGCAAGCGUUAAUCGGAAUUACUGGGCGUAAAGCGCGCGUAGGUGGUUCGUUAAGUUGGAUGUGAAAGCCCCGGGCUCAACCUGGGAACUGCAUCCAAAACUGGCGAGCUAGAGUAUGGCAGAGGGUGGUGGAAUUUCCUGUGUAGCGGUGAAAUGCGUAGAUAUAGGAAGGAACACCAGUGGCGAAUGCAACACCCUGGGCUAAUACUGAACUGAGUGCG